CCCAAUCGGAAUAGCUACCCACUUUUGGUACAACAAAAAAUGUAUGUAAAGGAUAUGCCAUUUCAAAAUUUGUAAAAAGAUCAGUCAAGUUACUAUUAUUUGGACUAGUGCUUCAAGUGUUUGAUUUAUUUUCUUUAUAAUGUAUAAUGUACCUGUCAAUUGUAGAGCCAAGCUGGGAACUGCCUAAAAAUCAGAUACACGGUUAGCUCAGUUUGACAGAUCUCCAUGCAAGUGUUCACAUGGUCGUGGAUUCAAGCACCAUACCAGUAGCAUCUUUUCUCACAGGUUUACUUUAGAACCCAUCAUCCAGGGGUUGACGAUUAUAAAUUUUUUAUUAAAUAUUACAGGCCAUGUUCUUUUGUAAACUUUCAGAUUGAGAAGUGCCUGGAUACAAGGCUAGUAUUGUUAACAUCAUCUGAUACAAUCAACUGGAACAAAGCUGAAAUGGCUGCCUGACCUGACUUAAAAAUCGGAUGGCAAUACAUCAGACUAGAAGAUUAUUAGUAUUGAGAUGGACAAAAUUAAACAUGAGCCUACCAAAGCUGACAGAUUGCACAAGAAACACAUAAAUGCAGAUUGGAGGAUUCAUUCUCUAGAAAAUAGAAAAGGGCAUGUUACAUACUGUUAUCAUUGCCAUGACAGAAACCAUAUUGAGGAGCUGGUCCACCUGUAGGAAGAAUUACGCUAUUGGUAGGAGCAGCACUAUUCCCCAGACAUACACCAGCACUUAGUUUGUCAUAGGGAGCAUUUCUGAGCAGUUAUGGAGACCACUAACUAUGCAGUUGUUGCAGUGAAACUUGCACCAGUGUGUUUUCUGUGGAAAUAAAGAGAUAGUGUCCAGCAAUGAAGACCCAACUCAAGACCUGACCUUGUAAGGCCAAUAUGAAAUAACUGUGUGGAAAAAUGGGAAAAACCUGCAGUCAGGAAUGCACGGAAAUCAUCAAAAGAUCAGUGUUAAAUUAAUCUUGAAUAACUUGACAUUUAUUUUGUUUGACAUAUUUAUUCAUGGUGCAGUGAAAACAUGUUUUUUUUCCUCAUGGUUAUUUAAAUUUAGAAUUGAUAGGAGGGAACAUCAUUAUGUAGUUUCAUGUUCAUAGUCAGAUCAAAACCCAUGUACAUGUAUAAAUGAGCAUUCGAAAAUAUCAAAAUGGAACUUGUUGUAUGUAGUGUAAGUUAAUUAACAUAAUAAACAAAAAUAUUUAAUAAAUUUCAAUUUAUUAUGCCCCCUUCAAAGAAGAGGAGUAUAUUGCUUUGCACAUGUUGGCUGCCACGUCCGUCUGUCUGACAGUAGACCAAAGCUUUUCCUGGUUGAUAACUCUACAAUUCCUAGACCUAUUGUCAAACUUGACAUGAAAGUUUGGUUUAACCAGUAGAUGACGCCUUUUGAUUUUAGGGGUAAUAUGGUCAAAGGUCACAGUGACCUUGAACAGGAAGGUGUCAAAGAAUG